UACGUAGGUGGCAAGCGUUAUCCGGAUUUACUGGGUGUAAAGGGAGCGUAGACGGCCAGACAAGUCUGAAGUGAAAAUCCAGCGCUUAACGUUGGAAGUGCUUUGGAAACUGCCGGGCUGGAGUGCAGGAGGGGCAGGCGGAAUUCCUAGUGUAGCGGUGAAAUGCGUAGAUAUUAGGAGGAACACCAGUGGCGAAGGCGGCCUGCUGGGCUUUUACUGAUGCUGAGGCUCGAAAGUGUGGGGAGCAAACAGG
rnacentral:rRNA from 1 species